rnacentral:rRNA from 1 species
UUCCUGCGGCUAGACGGAAAGAUCCCGUGCACCUUUACUACAGCUUCACAGUGGUGUUAGUGACGGCAUGUGUAGGAUAGGUGGUAGGCUUUGAAACUUGGGCGCCAGCUCAGGUGGAGCCACCCUUGAAAUACCACCCUUAUCUUCAUUGACAUCUAACCGCGGCCCGUUAUCCGGGGCCGGGACCCUGCGUGGCGGGU